rnacentral:misc_RNA from 1 species
GAUGAAGAACGCAGCGAAAUGCGAUAAGUAAUGUGAAUUGCAGAAUUCAGUGAAUCAUCGAAUCUUUGAACGCACAUUGCGCCCGCUAGUAUUCUGGCGGGCAUGCCUGUUCGAGCGUCAUUAUAACCCCUCAAGCUCAGCUUGGUGUUGGGGCCUGCUGCACUGGCAGCCCUUAAAAUCAGUGGCGGCGCCAUCUGGCUCUAAGCGUAGUAAUUCUUCUCGCUAUGGAGUCCUGGUGGAUGCUUGCCAUCAACCCCCAAUUUUUCUAUGGUUGACCUCGGAUCAGGUAGGGAUACCCGCUGAACUUAAGCAUAUCAAUAAGCGGAGGA